GACGAACGCUGGCGGCGUGCUUAACACAUUCAAGUCAAACGGAAAGGCCCUGCUUUUUUGGGUUGCUCGAGUGGCGAACGUGUGUGUAACACGUUAGUAACCUGCCCUUGACUUUGGGAUAACUUCAGGAAACUCGGGCUAAUACCGGAUAGGAGCUCCUGCUGCAUGGUGGGGGUUGGAAAGUUUCGUCGGUUGGGGAUGGACUCGCGGAUUAUCAGAUUGUUGGUGGGGUAGUGGCUUACCAAGGCUUUGACGGGUAGCCGGCCUGAGAGGGUGACCGGCCACACUAGGAAGGAGAAACGCACUAGACUCAUACGGGAGGAAGCGGUGGGGAAGAUAGCAUAAUCGGCGGAAGCCUGAAGCAGCAAUGCAGGGUGCGGGAGGAAGGCCUGCGGGUUGUAAACCGCGUUCGGCGGUGAUGAGGAGUGAGUGACGGUAAAGAGUAAAGAAGCAACGGCUAAAUACGUG
rnacentral:rRNA from 1 species